ACAGGACAAACAAGGCUGAACUGGCUGCGUCCUCAACAGGAGCGAUGAUGUCCUGGUUCACAAGCAGCCCGUCAAGUCUGCAGCGUUCGAGAUCCCGAACCAUCCCUGAAAGCUGAAGAAUACCCGCGCGCGCCGCUGCCGCCGCCGACUUCUCGCUCACAACAAGCCAUGAAGCACUCCAACCCGAAAAACGGCUCAGACGUACCCGCCAGCCCGCCCAGAUACCCUUCGACGCGACUAUCGACCUCUGCUGCAGGCGCCAUCGGCCAAGUCGCGGGCGUUGAGGCGAGUCGAGUUAUUGUUUGGCGAGAGGAGACGCGACGGGCGGACGAAGGGAGGGAAGAUGCGAGGAGCUGAGCCGGGUGCUGGAGGGCGUGUACGAACGUGCAACGUCGUUGUGGGUAUGCCCUGGCGGGAUCUGAGCGUG
rnacentral:misc_RNA from 1 species